GCGCCGGUUCUAAUCCCGGCAGCCCCACUUCCCAUCCAGCUCCCUGCUUGUGGCCUGGGAAAGCAGUCGAGGACGGCCCAAAGCCUUGGGACCCUGCACCCGCGUGGGAGACCCGGAGGAGGUUCCUGGCUUCGGAUCGGCAUAGCAUCGGCCGUUGCGCUCACUUGGGGAGUGAAACAUUGGAUGGAAGAUCUUCCUCUCUGUCUCUCCUCCUCUCUGUAUAUCUGACUUUCCAAUAAAAAAUAAAUAAAUCUUUUAAAAAAAAAAGAAGAA